AUACCGCCAUCUUCAGCAAACCCUAAAAAGGAACAAAAGUAAGCUCAAUAAAUAAUACAUAAAGACGUUAGGUCAAGGUGUAACCUAUG
rnacentral:rRNA from 1 species